UGACGCCAAGCAUUUUUCCGAUUUUAAACUCAAUUUUUGAUGUGUUUCCCGAUAUAUGACGUAAUUUUAAUUAACACCAUUGGAUUUCUCGUCUCAAAAACUAUAAGAAACGAUGUUAAUUUUCCGCGACUUGUCUCGCGAAUGACUGCGACGCCACGAAACUCGCAGUAUAUCGUCAGCCAACUAAUAGAUGAUGAAUGGCAAAGCAAAUGGAAAAACGAAAUAAAUACGUUUUUAAAUUCAAUUAAGGAUGAUUCAUUGGUAGCGAGAGUGUGUUUGGAGGAUGCGAUAAGAAUUAAGAGAGAAUGAGAUGAGUCGAGCUUCGAAUGGAUCGCGAUACGCUGCAAGCAGGGAUUCUCGUUCUCCGCGUAACGCUCUCUUAAGCCCUUCCCUCUUCAUCAGCUCGCUGUAUCUC